rnacentral:rRNA from 1 species
GACGAACGCUUGCGGCGUGCUUAACACAUGCAAGUCGAACGGAAAGGCCCUGCUUUUGUGGGGUGCUCGAGUGGCGAACGGGUGAGUAACACGUGAGUAACCUGCCCUUGACUUUGGGAUAACUUCAGGAAACUGGGGCUAAUACCGGAUAGGAGCUCCUGCUGCAUGGUGGGGGUUGGAAAGUUUCGGCGGUUGGGGAUGGACUCGCGGCUUAUCAGCUUGUUGGUGGGGUAGUGGCUUACCAAGGCUUUGACGGGUAGCCGGCCUGAGAGGGUGACCGGCCACAUUGGGACUGAGAUACGGCCCAGACUCCUACGGGAGGCAGCAGUGGGGAAUAUUGCACAAUGGGCGGAAGCCUGAUGCAGCAACGCCGCGUGCGGGAUGACGGCCUUCGGGUUGUAAACCGCUUUCGUCUGUGACGAAGCGUGAGUGACGGUAAUGGGUAAAGAAGCACCGGCUAACUACGUGCCAGCAGCCGCGGUGAUACGUAGGGUGCGAGCGUUGUCCGGAUUUAUUGGGCGUAAAGGGCUCGUAGGUGGUUGAUCGCGUCGGAAGUGUAAUCUUGGGGCUUAACCCUGAGCGUGCUUUCGAUACGGGUUGACUUGAGGAAGGUAGGGGAGAAUGGAAUUCCUGGUGGAGCGGUGGAAUGCGCAGAUAUCAGGAGGAACACCAGUGGCGAAGGCGGUUCUCUGGGCCUUUCCUGACGCUGAGGAGCGAAAGCGUGGGGAGCGAACAGGCUUAGAUACCCUGGUAGUCCACGCUGUAAACGGUGGGUACUAGGUGUGGGGUCCAUUCCACGGGUUCCGUGCCGUAGCUAACGCUUUAAGUACCCCGCCUGGGGAGUACGGCCGCAAGGCUAACACUCAAAGGAAUUGACGGGGCCCCGCACAAGCGGCGGAGCAUGCGGAUUAAUUCGAUGCAACGCGUAGAACCUUACCUGGGUUUGACAUGGAUCGGGAGUGCUCAGAGAUGGGUGUGCCUCUUUUGGGGUCGGUUCACAGGUGGUGCAUGCCUGUCGUCAGCUCGUGUCGUGAGAUGUUGGGUUAAGUCCCGCAACGAGCGCAACCCUUGUUCACUGUUGCCAGCACGUUAUGGUGGGGACUCAGUGGAGACCGCCGGGGUCAACUCGGAGGAAGGUGGGGAUGACGUCAAGUCAUCAUGCCCCUUAUGUCCAGGGCUUCACGCAUGCUACAAUGGCUGGUACAGAGAGUGGCGAGCCUGUGAGGGUGAGCGAAUCUCGGAAAGCCGGUCUCAGUUCGGAUUGGGGUCUGCAACUCGACCUCAUGAAGUCGGAGUCGCUAGUAAUCGCAGAUCAGCAACGCUGCGGUGAAUACGUUCCCGGGGCU